rnacentral:misc_RNA from 1 species
AAUUUGAGGACAAACAUAAUGCAAGCAAAUUAUUUAACAUGCCCCAAGAUUACAAAUAAAACCUAGAUAGCAUAAAGGUACCAAUUUAUUAUCCAAAUAAACAAAACUCACAGUACUUGAAAUUUCUCCAACCCUUCUUAAAUUCUUUCAAAUCUCAUUCAAAUCAAAAUACACAGACAAUACUCACCCAUAUUAUUGAAAAAUGGCUAUUAGUGCCAAGGUUUGGUUCAAAG